rnacentral:rRNA from 1 species
CACGGGUGAGUAACACGUAUCCAACCUGCCGUCUACUCUUGGACAGCCUUCUGAAAGGAAGAUUAAUACAAGAUGGCAUCAUGAGUCCGCAUGUUCACAUGAUUAAAGGUAUUCCGGUAGACGAUGGGGAUGCGUUCCAUUAGAUAGUAGGCGGGGUAACGGCCCACCUAGUCUUCGAUGGAUAGGGGUUCUGAGAGGAAGGUCCCCCACAUUGGAACUGAGACACGGUUCAA